rnacentral:rRNA from 1 species
AAAAUUAGAGUGUUAAAAGCAGGCAGAUCCAAUUUUCUGCCACCGAAUACAUUAGCAUGGGAUAAUGGAAUAGGACCCUGUCCUCCUAUUUUCAGUUGGUUUUGGCAGCGCGAGGACUAGGGUAAUGAUUAAUAGGGAUAGUUGGGGGCAUUAAUAUUUAAUUGUCAGAGGUGAAAUUCUUGGAUUUAUGAAAGAUUAACUUCUGCGAAAGCAUCUGCCAAGGAUGUUUUCAUUAAUCAAGAACGAAAGUUAGGGGAUCGAAGACGAUCAGAUACCGUCGUAGUCUUAACCAUAAACGAUGCCGACCAGCGAUUAGGAGACGUUGAAUACAAAACACCACCAUCGGUUGCGGUCAUCCUUGGCGUCUCGGUUUCGGCCGGGGCGCGGGGAUGGCUUAGCCCGGUGGCACCGGUGAA